AUUGAACGCUGGCGGCAGGCCUAACACAUGCAAGUCGCACGAGUGGCGGACGGGUGAGUAAUGUCUGGGAAACUGCCUGAUGGAGGGGGAUAACUACUGGAAACGGUAGCUAAUACCGCAUACCAUCGGAUGUGCCCAGAUGGGAUUAGCUAGUAGUUGGGGUAACGGCUCACCUAGGCGACGAUCCCUAGCUGGUCUGAGAGGAUGACCAGCCACACUGGAACUGAGACACGUUCCAGAAUCCUACGGGAGGCAGCAGUGGGGAAUAUUGCACAAGGGGCGCAAGCCUGAUGCAGCCAUUCCGCGUGUAUGAAGAAGGCCUUCGGGUUGUAAAGUACUUGCAGCGGGGAGGCGUUACCCGCAGAAGAAGCACCGGCUAACUCCGUGCCAGCAGCCGCGGUAAUAG
rnacentral:rRNA from 1 species